GUGGGGAAUAUUGGACAAUGGGCGAAAGCCUGAUCCAGCCAUGCCGCGUGUGUGAAGAAGGUCUUCGGAUUGUAAAGCACUUUAAGUUGGGAGGAAGGGCAGUAAGUUAAUACCUUGCUGUUUUGACGUUACCGACAGAAUAAGCACCGGCUAACUUCGUGCCAGCAGCCGCGGUAAUACGAAGGGUGCAAGCGUUAAUCGGAAUUACUGGGCGUAAAGCGCGCGUAGGUGGUUUUGUAAGUGGGAGGUGAAAUACCCGGGCUCAACCUGGGAACUGCCUCCAAGACUGAAUGACUAGAGUACGGUAGAGGGUAGUGGAAUUUCCUGUGUAGCGGUGAAAUGCGUAGAUAUAGGAAGGAACACCAGUGGCGAAGGCGACUACCUGGACUGAUACUGACACUGAGGUGCGAAAGCGUGGGGAGCAAACAGGAUUAGAAACCCGUGUAGUCC
rnacentral:rRNA from 1 species